rnacentral:tRNA from 1 species
GGUGGCGUAGCUCAGUUGGUAAGAGCACUCGGCUCAUAAUCGAGGGGUCGUCAGUUCAAGUCUGACCGCCACCA